UCUAUGAUAGAAGCACGUUCAUAUAUGAUCAACAUGAGUACAUGCAAGUCUACAACAAUAUUAUUUAUUAAUAUUAUUUAUUAAUAAUCCUCCUCUUGUAUAUAGAGGCUUGCAGACUCAUAGAAUUCCUCAACAUAGUCGAAGGCCUCAAUGGCUACGGAUUCUGUUUGAUCUACAAGAUGAACAAAGUCACCCUGUAGUUCUUGGUUGCGGCCCUAAUGGGAUUGAAGUUUUGGAAGGAAACAUACAAACUCUGUCCAUCAAAUGGGAGACCGUGACUAUCAUCAAUAUAAGAUACAGGACGAUAAACUUCCAUUCUGAUACGACGUAUACUAAUGGAGUCCACUCUUUUCGAUGCCCCACGACUAAACUCUGCAAUUACAUUGGACUCCUUUGUGUGGAAAUGAGGAAUUACUACUGGUAAGUAUCAGAAGCAAUAGACUAUAAAGGUACAUGUACGACAUUGGGACUUGACUAUAGCCCAAGGCUGCCUUUUUAUAUCAUUAGUAAGCUCUAGAGAAUAAAGCAAAAGAUAUCUUAUUUCAGUUCACUUAAUCUACCAAAGAGUUAUUGGGUUUAUAUUGGUAUAUUAUUACUUUAUUGGUUUUAUUGGUCUAGACAAACGUUGAAUAGAAACUUCUGUAAUGUAUAGUCCACUUGCCUAUAGUGCUAUUAUAGUUGUUUUUAUAAAUGAUAGAAAAUGAAUAUUAAGAUGUGCUUGAACUUUCUUUAUUA